rnacentral:rRNA from 1 species
UACGAAGGGGCUAGCGUUGUUCGGAAUUACUGGGCGUAAAGGGCGCGUAGGCGGCGUGUCAAGUCAGGCGUGAAAGCCCGGGCUCAACCUGGGAACCGCGCUUGAGACUGGCAUGCUCGAGUUCGGGAGAGGAUGGUGGAAUUCCCAGUGUAGAGGUGAAAUUCGUAGAUAUUGGGAAGAACACCGAUGGCGAAGGCAGCCAUCUGGACCGACACUGACGCUGAGGCGCGAAAGCGUGGG